rnacentral:rRNA from 1 species
UACGUAGGGCGCAAGCGUUGUCCGGAAUUAUUGGGCGUAAAGAGCUCGUAGGCGGUUUGUCGCGUCUGCUGUGAAAACCUAAGGCUCAACCUUGGGCUUGCAGUGGGUACGGGCAGACUAGAGUGCGGUAGGGGUGACUGGAAUUCCUGGUGUAGCGGUGGAAUGCGCAGAUAUCAGGAGGAACACCGAUGGCGAAGGCGGCAUCCUGGACCGGCAUUGACGCUGAGGCGCGAAAGCUAGGGGAGCAAACGGG